rnacentral:rRNA from 1 species
AACGUAGGAGACAAACGUUAUCCGGAGUUACUGGGCGUAAAGGGCGUGUAGGCGGUUAGUUAAGUCUGGCGUGAAAGCUCUCGGCUAAACCGGGAGAGGUCGUCGGAUACUGGCAAACUAGAGGAUGGUAGAGGCGUGUGGAAUUCCGGGUGUAGUGGUGAAAUGCGUAGAGAUCCGGAGGAACACCAGUGGCGAAGGCGACACGCUGGGCCAUACCUGACGCUAAAGCGCGACAGCAUGGGGAGCGAACGGG